GUGAGUCAUCGAAUCUUUGAACGCACAUUGCGCCCUUUGGUAUUCCGAAGGGCAUGCCUGUUCGAGCGUCAUUAUCACCCCUCAAGCUCCGUGCUUGGUGUUGGAUGGCCCGGUCGAGUAACAUCGACCCCUCCCAAAGACAAUGACGGCGGCCUGUGGUUCCCCCGGUACACUGAGCUUUUAACUGAGCACGUAUCGGACAAGGGCACCCGGGACACGGUCCUCUCCUUUAAUUAGGAAACUUCUCAAGGUUGACCUCGGAUCAGGUAGGAAUACGCGCUGAACUUAAGCAUAUCAAUAAGCGGAGGA
rnacentral:misc_RNA from 1 species